GAUGAACGCUGGCGGCGUGCCUAAUACAUGCAAGUCGAGCGAAUGGAUUAAGAGCUUGCUCUUAUGAAGUUAGCGGCGGACGGGUGAGUAACACGUGGGUAACCUGCCCAUAAGACUGGGAUAACUCCGGGAAACCGGGGCUAAUACCGGAUAACAUUUUGAACCGCAUGGUUCGAAAUUGAAAGGCGGCUUCGGCUGUCACUUAUGGAUGGACCCGCGUAGCAUUAGCUAGUUGGUGAGGUAACGGCUCACCAAGGCAACGAUGGGUAGCCGACAUGAGAGGGUGCACGGCCACCCUGGCACGUAGACACUGCCCAGACUCCUACGGGAGGCAGCAGUAGGGAAUCUUCCGCAAUGGACGAAAGUCUGACGGAGCAACGCCGCGUGAGUGAUGAAGGCUUUCGGGUCGUAAAACUCUGUUGUUAGGGAAGAACAAGUGCUAGUUGAAUAAGCUGGCACCUUGUCGGUACCUAACCAGAAAGCCACGGCUAACUACGUGCCAGCCGCCGCGGUAA
rnacentral:rRNA from 1 species